UCGUAUUAGUAUUAUGUGGCAAAUUUCACUCAAAAUAAAAAAUUUCCAUCCUCCUACAGAACACGUGGAAAUGCCUUCAGAUGUCUCUGUCUUUCUCUUGUGCUAAUCAGGAAGAUCAAAUUGAAGUUGUUUCUCUCUUGUGUCGGUUAUGAUUUUUUUUUAGAUUAUUUCAAAUUAUAUACCAUCUUGAAUUGAUAAUGUUUUCCUGACUUUGUGGAUUAUCUUUUGAGUUUUUCAUGGUUUCUGGUUCUAAUGGAAGAAAGAAGAUGUAAUUUAUGGUUUUACGUGUUUUUUUAAUUCUAUGUCGAAAUAAAAAAGAAGAUCCAAUUUGUGGGUUUUUCUUGGGGUUUUUCUGAAGAUCAAAUUUGUAGGUUUUACUUGGGUUUUUUUUAUUCUAUGUCAAAACCACUGCUUCUAUAAUAUAGAAAAAUAGAUUAGAUUGGUUACUUGGGGUUUCUCUUUACCCUUGAUUUUAAUGAAAAAAAAAGACCCAAUUUGAUUUUUUUAGGGCGACCCCGAAGGUACUAUGAGCUGAUUGAGAUUUAGUUCAGCUGAGGUCAGCAACCAUGGCAGAUGCAUUAUCUCCUUUGCGCUGGUUAUACUGAUCUGAGCCUUAAGGGUCUGUUUGGUUAAGUUGUUGCAUUGAAGGUUUCGAUGAGAAUUGAAAAGUUCAACAGUUUUUAUACACACACAUAAUUUUUAUGAGCCUUACAGGUCUGUUUGGUUAAGUUGUUGCAUUGAAACUUUCAAUGAAAAUCAAAAAGUUUUUGCAGUUUGUAUACAUACACACAUAAUAUAUACACACACACAUAUAUAAAUAUAUAUAUAUGCACACAAAUAUAUACACACACACAUAUAUAUACAUAUAUACGCACAAAGAAAUGAAGGGUUUAGGGUUUAAAAUUUGACCCUUUUGUUGUUCUUCUUCUCUUUACUCAUCAUCAUCAUAUAUGGCUUGAGUUGAAAUCCUUGAAAUAGGAUUUUCGUUGUUGUUGAUAUUGCUAUUGUUGUAGUUGAUGAUGAUGAUGGUAGUAGUGGUGUUACAAUAUGAGGCUAUGAUGAUUGAGGUGUCUAGAGUUCAUGGGGUAAUGAAGCUAUGCCCACAUCUUGGCGAGGCAACCUGGAAGGCCUAACCGAGAUGGCAAAAGAUGUGGUGUCAUUUUUAACUCAAGCUGCUGAACCAGAGAUGGAAGAGAGAAAACUGUGUGCAAUCUUUAAUUAGUAUGGAACUGUUGCAUAGGCAGUGCGGAAAUGGGAAUAAGUCUUUUUCAUACUUUAGUGUAAUAGAAGAAUAUGCAUCCUCCAAGUUCUGUGCUUAUAAGUCCAUAUGUGGUAUGUUAGUGAGUCCCCACAACCAACUCUUUAGGAAAAGUACCAAAUGAAAAUUCUAAUGCAUGUAAGAUAUCUUUGUUGUGCUUUCCAGGAUGAGAAGGAUGUAUUCCAAAGUCUUGAUCUCUUGUACAGGCGAGUUGAGAUAGAUAUUUUGAAGCGGGAAGCAAUUCCUGCCAUGAGACUACUGAAUGAUCUUCUGAAUAUGCAUGAUGGUGGACUAGACAAUGAAGGAUGGCCUAAGGCAUGUAAAAAUUGUAUAGUUGAGACAUUUCCUCGAGAGGACCUAAAUUAGUAGUCUUGUACCUGCAGAUUUCGACAUUGACACGUUUGGUAUCAGGGCAAUGAAGGAUCUUACAACGAGGGUGAUGCAAGUACGAUCGUGAUUGUGGAUCAAUAUGUAAAGAACUUGUGCUCGGGUGACUGGCCAACUAAUGGAACAAACUUUGGAGUGUUGGCUCAUUAAGGGCAUUUUAGUGAUUUUGUAAUAAGUUGUAACCUAGGCUAUAGAUAGAACAUAUUAGGUCAUUUUCUCAUAACUUAGAUGAUAUUUUGAGAGCUCUUUGAGAGUGUUCAUACAAGUGUGGAUAUCACUUGUGUCGUGUGGAUAUCAUUUGUGACAAGUGUGGAAUCACUUGUGUUGGUUGCUUGUUUUGAAAUGUUGGUUUCUUAGGGAUUCCGUUCCCUUGAGGUCACCGUAAGAACUUGAUGUUAUUUGUAUGAAUUCUUGGGUCUUGGUGUUCAAUACACUUUGGUUCAUAGUGUUUGUG